rnacentral:sRNA from 1 species
UUGCAGAUAAGAAGACUUAACAUCCUCUGUGUUUCUACAGAACAGAUACAGCAUGGGCAUCAGCAGUGCAGAUUUUCCCACACUGCCCUGUACCUCAGUUUUGACACGGUGUGAUCCCUUCUAGGGAUGAGAUUAUCACUCCAUAUUGAUUCAGUCUUUUGCUGAA